GCUCUGCUAUUCCCUCUUGUCCGUCAAAGAUUGAACCUCCAAAGAGUUAACAAAAUAUACCCAUAUUAUAUUAAAUAUGACCAUGUUACAUAUAUACAUUAGAAUUUAUUAUAAAAAUUUAAAACUAUUUAUAUUAAAUGUUUAUCUGUAUUACAAUCAGCUGUAAAAGAAUUGAUAUCAAUAGGUUGAAUGAUUUCGAAAGAGCUGAGAUCCUGAGCCAGAAGAGAGUAAUGGCUUGUGUGCACUGCUGCUGAUAUCUGGGGUAGAGCUUAUAGGAGGUAACGGGGUUGCUGAGAAAUAGUGUUAUCCAACGGUAUCAACCACUUCAAAAGGUUCCCAUAUGGAUCCUUGUGUUCAUGAUCAGAAAGUUGGUCCAUGUCUUGAUGCUUCUCAAACUGCAGUAUCUCAAUGAUUGGUUCAUUGGGACAGUCAGCGAUAUAAACUUGUAAAGAGACCUUCACCCUUCCAAAUAAAGGCAUUGUGUGAGAAUCAGUAGGUUAAAACAACAACUUAUAAGAAUUACCAUCAUGUGUCUCCAUUGGGUAAGGCACAACAUUUUGCCUUACUUCUUGCUACACCUCCAGCAACAUUAAGAUCAAACUCUCCUCUAUCUAAAAAAGCACUAACACAAGGUCUCUUUUUCCCGCUUUUCCUCUAGCUUUGUAUCUCCCAACACAGAGGUUUCUUUGACCAAAGCGGCUCACCAGACUCUGCGAUCCUAACAAAGAAAUGAGACUUCUGAAACCUGGAAAGGAAGUCUUCAUAUUCGCCAACCAUUUCUCCGAUUCCAAAUACAAUUGCGAUAUCUUUCCGGCGACUCUUCCCAUCUCCGGCCGGUUCACCGCCUCAUCCUCGACGCACUCCAGCGCCAACCGCAUUAACUUCUCCUCCACCGUCACCGGAAACGAAUCCCCCAACCUCCGAUCCAUCCACCUCCUCAACCGCCCCCUACGUCACCACCAUAUCCGCCGUCAACCACCGCUUUCGCGGUUUCAAUCACCGAAGUCCGUUCAAAAUCCCCGGUCGAUUUCUCAUACCUAUACUUCAACGACUCCUCGCCGGAGAGAAGCUCAAGCAUCAUGACUCCGAAGGCGAACACGUCUGAUUCCUGAGUCGCAACCCCCAAAGCCUGAAAAUCCGGGCGACAUGUAUCCUAUCACUCCUUCGAAUCAAACGGCUUUGGAAUCUCUCGAUCCGUCUGUUUCCCCACAGAGCUGCCCGGUGCCGAAGUGGCAGAUCUUGGCGUUGAAAUCGGGCUCCGUCACGAUCACCGCCGAGCUCUUGAUGUGGUUGUGAAGAUCUUCAAAUGCAUGUCUGUCAAUAUGGUCUCCUUCUUUCCUUCUCCGAUUUCCUUAAAGCCGAAUAUUUAUAAUAUGAGGAUCGAGAGAACUGAAAGGAUGGAGAGAAAACGGUGAAGACGAAGCGAUAGAGGAGAGAGCAUCGUGUUAUCCGUCUCAGGUUUUUUUUUUUUAAUUAUACCGGUAGAUUGAAACCGACGAAGCCCAGUAAAACCACAUUGAAGCCCAUACAAAAGCAACAGUUUAGGAGAUCAUACGUGUAUUAUUGAAAUGUUUUGAUUGGCCGAAUAAAUUUGUCGACGUGGACACUGUGAAAUCACUCUAUAUCGUGCUUUUAGUAUAGGAUAGAUAUCUGGACCACGUUUACUGUUGGGUCACACAAGAAAAAUGUAUUAUGGAUACACAUGGACUGUUGGGAUCACGUAGGUCAGCCGGCUAGGCGGCGAUUACAUGUGCAACGGCCAACAACCAUGGCGAUUCGACAAUAAUCGACCAUUAACUCGGAAAUUUUGAAGAAACUUCGUUUUGUUAUGAUUUACGUCAAAAAUCACGGUUUUUGUUAGAUCUACGAAGAUUGGAAAGAAUAGAGUAAAAAAUGAUUCAAAACUUGAAAUAAAUGUGAGAGAAAAAAUAGAGGCGGUAGUUAUAAAAUCGCAGGUCAAGAUUAUUGUAUAAUUAAAAUUUUGUCAUCUCAUUUCAUUAAAAACCUCAAAUCCAAAGAAACUUGUCGAAUCCGAAAAAUCCUAUUUGAAAAAAUUGUAUCGAAUCAGAAUCGAAAUUAGUUAAAUAUUUGAACGGAUUCAAAAUUUUGGUAUCUAGAGAAUCAUAACUAAAUUCGAUUUGAACUGAAGUGUUUCGGAUUACCCAAAUGUAUCCGAGAAAUAUAUACUUAAAAUAUUACUAUUUUUUAGAUUUAAUAUAUAAACAUAUCUAAAUAUAGAAGAUAUUUUAAAGUUGUUCAAAAUAUUUGAAAAUAUAUACAAAUAGUUAAAAGUAACUGUUUAAAAUAUCUAAACAAAACUCAAAACACCAAAAAUACUUCAAAUAUCUAUUGAUUUUCUAUCCAAAUAUUCAAGCUAUACCAAUUUAUAUGUUAAGUUUAUGUAUUUUAGAAUAUAUUAUUUAAAUUUAUAUAUAAUAUCUUAAUUUAUUUUUAGACUUUGAAAAAUUUAAAGUAUAUAUUAAUUUUUUAAAAUAAUUUUAAUGGGUUAUCCGAACCCGAACCAAACCCACAAAUAUUUGAACUUAACCCAAACCAAAAUUUUAAUAAUUUCCAAAUGGAACUGAAAUCUUUAACCACAAAAAUCUUUAAAACCCGAAUAGUUUCAAAUCGAUGUUAAGAUAACAAAUGCAAAGAUCGACCAUGGAUGUAGCUGAACGAGAAUCAGAAUAAUCAUCUGAAUCGGCGCAUUACAUUGUAAGUAUUGUACAUAUAUAAUAUGUAUACUUAAAAUGAUUAAAUCCCCGAGUAAUAACUGAUUAAUCUCUGUUUUUUUUGUUAACUCGAUUUGUCCGAAUCGACCACUUGAUUCAUACCUAACCAAAUCUCGAACAUGAGUAUUAAGUAGUCAUGAAUUAAUGUAUAUAAAAUAAAAUAAGUAUGACUAUUGUGAAAUUUGUGCUGCUAAAUAAAAUAAAUCUAAUAUGAACUAAAUGUAUAUAUCAAAUAAAUAUGUUGGUUGUGACAUUUGUGUCGCUAAUUUGUACCAUUUUUCUUUUAAUUUGUUUUGAAUUCUGCUUAAUAGUAAAUUCAUGAACUUUGUUAGUUGGAAAAAUAAAUUCAACAAAAUGUAAUGUUUUGCUAUUACUUUGACAAAAUUUUGUCGUAAGAUUAAAAGUAUAUAGAUAUUUUUUUUAAUUCAUUACAUUCACAAAAAUCUCGCAGCAUAUACAUAUAGUUUAUAUAUAUAGCUUCAUGAACUAUUAACGUGUCAAGCUUCCUCGUUUGAAGCGCUGCUAAUUGUUUUCUUCAUUAACGAAGAGGGAACAUCUUUUAUCAGAAGACUCAGAAGGAAACCGAUCAUCUGUGCAUGUAAGAAAAUAUUAGUCAUGGAUAACUAAUACAUUUAUAAUCAACAUAGUUUUGGUGGAUGAGAUGGUGGAAAAUAGUAUACCAAAGAUAAGGCGAUGCAUAAAAGACUGAAUCCAGGGAAAUAGAACGGUGCAUUGUCGGAGAGAAACAAUGCUAUAUCAAACCCAAAUCAUUUACUUGUUAGAGGUCUUCAUUAGAACUUAGUAAUGAAUGGUAUUGUAAGUCCACUCUCACAUCUUCACAUACCUGUCAAUGGACUAUAUACAAAUGGAGCCACGACUUCUGCAAAUGACUUUACCCCAUAUAUGCAUCCCUGGACCUUCCCCUGAAAGGAUAUGGAAAUAUGAAACGAAUACUAUCUAGAAGCUGUGGAAGUUUAACAAAAUCUUUAAUGACAAAAAAAAAAGAUUUGUGUGAGAUGUUAUGUGUAUUUCAUUCAAAUGAAAACAGAAUAUGUAGAACUCAUAUACCAUGUAUAUUUACUUUACCAACUGUGACAGUACUAUUAAAACGGAAUUUAUAUCCUGUAGCAACAAAAGCACGUUAUCAUGUUUGUAUAAAAAAUUUGGAUGCCAGAGUUUAUUGCGUCUACAUACAAAAAUUAAUAAAGAAAUCUAGAAUAAUUAAUCAAUGUUACAUGUCAGCAGAGUUUAAUGCCUCUACAUACAAAUUUUGGGGGGGGGAUUACGAUGUUACAUGUCAAACAUAUAUAUGUGGAGUGGCGCUUCCUGCAAACUCUAUUGACGACGAUUGGAUUUAGAAGAAGUUGGUAUUAAUUGUGACUUAGGUUUGAUAAGUGUCGUACUAUACUACGACUGGUGUAAACCCUAAAAUGACCUAAAAGGAUCAAGUGUACCGAUGAUCAUUUUGCCAAAAAAAAGUGUACUGACUCAUGGAUUACUCUAGGGAGAUUUGUUAACUGCGUAUGCACGCAUUUGUUUAGAUAACCAAUGAUGGAAGUAGGCCCGGGAAAAUAUCUGGAUCUGAAGAUUCGAACUAGACCGAUCCCAAUUUUAAGGUACCAAUUCAAACUCAAUCUUCAACUGUCCUUUCCGACUCUUCUCGGGUCUCCAGUUAAAUGGGUGUACACGGUCCCGGGGUCCCGGGAUGGUUGGUUGGAGGCAGCAAUCUUCAACUGUCCUUUCCGAACGACGGCAUCACUGGUUUAGGAUCUUCCUCGUGCUGCCGGGGCGAUACUUCUUGGGUGAGUGGACGGGUUCGAGAUUGUGAUUCUUUGUGCAGGUUGUGGCUUGUGGGUUUCAGAAGCUGUAGGAGCCAUGUGUUUCAAGGUUUGGGUCGCCUUUCUCUCCGGUAGCUCGCGGCAACUAGUUCCCGCUCCGUUCACGUCUGUUCCUCUGGUCCGUCAUUACUCUGGUGUUGUCUUGUGCUUAAUCCCAGUAUCUGCAUCUUUCCUUUGAUCGUUUACUGAUUGGGUUCUUCUGUUUAGAUUGUAUUUUUGCACUUCUGUUUCUUUGUGAAUCUCUGUAACUUCUGUCGAAAUUGAAAAAUCUGGUAAUAAUAUUUAAUAUUUUACCAAAAAAAAAAAAAAAAAAAAA